GAUGAAGAACGCAGCGAAAUGCGAAAAGUAAUGUGAAUUGCAGAAUUCAGUGAAUCAUCGAAUCUUUGAACGCACAUUGCGCCCGCUGGUACUCCGGCGGGCACGCCUGUCCGAGCGUCAUUUCAACCCUCAAGCCCUCCUUCGGGAUGGGCCUGGUGUGGGGGCUCGGCCGCCAUCUCCGGCGGCCGUCCCCUAAAUACAGUGGCGGUCACGUCGCGACUCCUUUGCGUAGUAGAAACACCUCGCUCCGGAUAGCAACGCGGUCCACGCCGUAAAAUCCCCAAUUUUCAAUGGUUGACCUCGGAUCAGGUGGGAAUACCCGCUGAACUUAAGCAUAUCAAUAAGCGGAGGA
rnacentral:misc_RNA from 1 species